AGAGGAGGCUCUUCUGCGCCGUGGAGAGGGGAGGUGCGCACCACACACACAAAACCACUGAGCAGCUUCCCGUCCCCAAGCGCGCUCUUUCUGUUCCUCCCUCCCCCCGCCGCCCCCCCUCUGGACCCUGAUCAGGUCUGACCUGCCAGCACACGCGGGAUAAAGGCUGAGACAGACAGCUGGAUGUGCGUGACAGUGCCAAGGACAAAGCAGGCACUGGGAGAGGCAGCAGACAGAGGAGGAUGGUGGAGGGAUAUGCCGUGGAGAAAGGGAGCCAAAGGUUAAGUUAAUUAUGCUGUGAUGCCAAACAUCUUAAAAAUUGUAGAAAGAGGAGUUUGCCAAGACUGUAGCAAUAAUCUAAUGGAUGUUAUUAAAAAGACAGAGAAUAAAUGUCCACCAUGAACUUGGUAGAUGUCCAUUAUGGUCCAUCAGAGGAUAUUAGGUGAGGUAUGGUUUGGUGGCGUCUUUGUGUGUUGCUAUGAAGCUCUGACACAAUUUCUCUUUGUAUAUGUUGUAAACAAAGAAGCCCAGCAUGUACAAAACAGUCAAACACCUUUUCCAGGUAGUUUUCAAAUAGUUUCCCAGAAAUUAAACGAUGUGAUGCUAUAAUUUCUUAGGAAGGUUCUUGGAAAGACUAUGUAACUUCCCCAUACAAAUUAUUUAAUUCUUCUCUGUCUUGGGAAAUCACAGGACCUGUAAAACAAACAGUUAAUAUACCCAUCGUCCUGACAAAUCAUCACAACCAGCUGAAAGGAGCAAUCAUUAAAAUACAUUCACAGCUAAACAAAACAUAAUGCUUAUUCAUCUAAGGUUCUUGUCAACACCCUGGAUACUAUCUCAUAAAAAAAAUAAAUAUAGUAAUUAUUUUAAUUGAUUGCAAUUUGUGAUGUGACACUAAAUGUAAAAUGUAGUUUUGCAUUUAGCAACAGAGGCUCCCCCAACACAGAGUUGCUUAGUAAGUAUACUCACAAAUCCAGAGUAACUCAGAGUAAUUGUAAAUGUGACACAUCAUUCCACCUGAUUACUUGUGAAAUAUACCCUAUUAAUGUAAUGGAAAACUAUUAGUUCAGCCAAAGAAGCCCAACUUAUAGUCUUUAUAUUAUCAUGUGUGUAUGAGAGAAAGAAAAUGAUGGAAAUAAAGUAAAAUGGAUGAAUAUUUGAGCACAUUUUUACCCCCAAUUGUUCUUCUUCUACACUCAUUUGCACAAUAGUUGUAGACAUAUGAGUAAAGGCUUGUUUGAGUAUUGCUGUAAUGGAAACUUGCUGCAUGACAACUCACUGUAGUUGCAUAAUCAGUUCAAGAUAUCUAAUAGUGUACAUCUGCCAAAACACAGAGCGUGAUGGAAUAUGCACCUUGUGGUUUAUCCAGUGCGAACACAGCAAGUGAGCAGCUGUUGGCACGGAGACAAAGACUUCAAUCAGCAUAGAUUUCUGCAACCAUUUUGAUUGUGCAAACCCAUUCCUCAGACAUAGCUGAUGAGCAAGUUUGACGUGUGACAUUUAGAGUGCAUUGUGCUUAGUCCGUCCUCUUUUAUAUCCUUGCCAAACUGCCCCAAGUGUUGUCUUAUCUGACAGAAGAGAAAUCAAAAGCCAGGAUGAAAUAUUCAAAGUCUCAAGAGAGGCUGAGCAAAGUUAAGGAAAUGCUCACUGCACCUGCCAUUACAUUUCCUGCCAAGGACCUUAUCCUAUUUGGCUCUGACCUCCAUUUUCUGCCCCAGAGGCUGACAGGGACAGAGACAUAUUGGGCACGGCUGGACGCACACUGCAAGAUUCAUUUGAAUGUAUUAAGCACCAAUAUUGGCAAGGCUGAUCACAUGCCCAUAAGAAGACCACCACACACAACACACGCGUGAUUCUGAUGAGCAUCUCCUCCGGUAUUGAUCUCUCUUAUCAGCCGUCCAACAGACUACGCUGGAAAAUAAUGAAUUUUUCUUUUGCCUCUUUUUUUCUCUGUCACUCUGCAUCACUCCACCAUCCUGCCUCCUUUUGCAAUUCCUCUUUUAUGUUUCUCUUGCUCUGCCUUCCGUUCAUCGUUACACGUUUCAGAUGAACAUCCACACUGCCUACUCUACUUCCUGAAUGCCUGUAAAGGUGAGGUGAGCUUUACCCACAUGGAAACCCUUAGCAGCCUGUAUUUUCCUGUGCUCGUUCUGUGUUUCCAGUCUAAACAGCAAUUACUACAGGAAUCCUUUAUAGAGGGCCUGAGAGAGCAAAACAGUUUAGCUACAUUUGCGGUAAUGGCAUGUCUGAUAGCCUGGUUGAAUCUUUCCCCUUGGGACUCCUGCUGUAAUAACACUGCAUGGCUCACUUGAUACCAAACUUGGUACCACAGUGUGUCAGCAGUCAAAAAUUUUAAUGUUUUGUUUGUAGUCGUGAGCAGAAUGCAACAAAACUUAGACCCCAGUGCUGACAUUUUUUAAUCUUGCAUUAAUCAAAGCAUGAUAUUUAUGAUAUCACAUAUUUAAACUGAGGCAUUUUCUAAGUUAAUGUUAGCACACUUGCAAUAUGAAUAAACAUGCAGGCCUAAUAUUUAUGCUCUGUUUUAUCCACAUGAAUAUGGACUAAUUCUACCACUCAUAUCUUUAAUAAACAAGUUAGUGCACACUGUAUAA